UUGAAGUGUAAGCUGUGUAAGUCCACAUCGCGAUUUCAUUUUUAAUUCAAACAGUCGUGCACCCUUAAUGGAUACCAUAUGGAUAUUUCAGAGGUUAGUCUACAGGAUUACAGCGUUUUGGAUGAUUUUCUCCUCAUCAUGUACAAUCGAAGUAAGAAAGUCAAUCAUAUCUGGGAUGGCAUGAGGAUUGCUGAGAACUUGAGUGGCAGGUUACAAGUUGAAGCAGCUGAGGGCCAGCAACCCUGUUGUUUCAAUGAGGACAAACUUUGAUUGUGAAGAUGGUUCAGUGGUUUCUGAGGACUCUACAGAGGACGAAGGCCCCCAGCAGAUGGGAAACAUCCCAGAGCUGGACCUCUCCAUGAUUUCCAACAAUAAAUAGUGAAAACCUGCAGGAAUUUGAGUUUUUAAGUGCCUUUUAAGAUUUUAUAUGGAUUGAUUUGAAUUUUUUACUGUUUCAGGUUUAAGGUGUUACAUUUGUUGUUAUUGUUCCUGUUGUUCUUGUAAUUUAAAGGUGCUAUAUGUAAUAUUUUUACUGUACUAAAUCAUAAAAUGACCAUAAUAUGUCAUUAGAGAAUUAGGAAACAUGCUAAGUUGAAAUACUGGCUUCUCCGAUAACAAUGCUACAGCCAGUAUAUUCUACUUUGAAGUUUCCAUUCCAGGCGGGAAUUUCUGUUUAUGUUUUGGCCUGUGUGAUCCCGCCCACUGCCCACUCACCAAUAGUAUUUCGACACCGCCGUGUUGCCAGAUUUGCACAAGUUUGCAGGCAAACAACACUGCUUGCUGCAGCCAUGGAAGCCAGCAAACGAACUGGAUCAGAGAUAACAGAUUCCACCCGACCUAAAAAGCUUCGCCAUCCGUCUAAAAACCACCAUGACCAGAGGCGAAGUAAAACAAGGAUUUUAUUGGAGAUGCCUUUUGAAGAUGGAGACAGCUUAAAGCCCAGAAAUCCUUUAAAACGGAUCCUGUUGCGUGUCCUCAUUCUGGCAACCCACAUGAGCUUCGAGUCUGGGGCGGGGCAGACAACUCUCCAAUAUUUAGAAUUUAGACUGUAGUACCCAUUUCAAACACUUGUUGUCAAUCUUACAAAUAGCACCUUUAAACAUAUUUGUAAAUAAAUUGUAAUUACUAUUGUUCUUGUUGUUCCUCAUGUUGAUCAUGUUCCUGUCAUUAAUCAUUUUCCUCAAUUUAAUAAAUAAGUAAUACAAUUAUUUACAAUGUAUAUAUUAUAAAUAUAAAUUUUUUAAUAUUUAAGUGAACAGACUCUUUAACAAAUAUCACAUACAUAGUUCUGACACUGAGUUCAAAAAAACUUGAUUCAAACAUGUUGAAAAUAUUGCAUUUUCGGUGGUUGGAUUGCUAUAGGAUUGCACUUGACCACAUUAAAUGCCAGGUGUAAAUGCACCCAAAAUGCAUUGUGAUCGGAUCACUGAAACCACAUUCGGAGGUGGUCAGGAACGGAUUCUGACCACAUUCAAAGAAGGUGUAAAUGCAAAUGUGUUUUCGUUAUCUGGAUACAACUAUGUAAGUAAUGAAUUAUGUGAUGAGGUUACUCUACAGUCAUCUAUUGUUAAAGCGCUGUGUUGUGUGUUCUUGCAUUUUUCUGUUUUCAGCCAUUGCAAUGUGAAGAACACAACAGACACUGCUGUCUUGCAAUCUUGUCACUCAAACAAUGAACACAAUCCCAUGAAUUAUUCCAAAGGAAUACACUUGGAAUAUCUUGUCUCUCUCCUCAAAUCCACUCUCACUCGCAUCUCUAUCCUGUUUUCUACUCAUGCGCGUCACACAUGAAACCAGGCUUGUGUGCUGAGCGCAAGAUGAAUAUCAUAAAAUUAGCUUCAGCGACCUGGAAUUUUGCUUUGGCAGACUUCUUUGAAUUCUACCUGCUCAACACCAAUUUUAUGUACAACAGUAAAGAGAAGACUCAGGGGUGCAGGCCUAAUGGGAAGAAUUGCAAAGAAAAAGCCACUUUUGAAACAGAAAAACAAAAAGAAAAGGUUAGAGUGGGCAAAGAAACACAGACAUUGGACAACAGAUAAUUGGAAAAGAGUGUUAUGGAUCUUAACCCCAUUGAAGUUUUGUGGGAUCAGCUAGACUGUAAGGUGCGUGAGAAGUGCCCGACAAGACAGCCACAUCUAUGGCAAGUGCUACAGGAAGCGUGGGGUGAAAUGUCACUUGAGUAUCUGGACAAACUGAAAGCUAAAAUGCCAAGGACCUGCAAAGCUGUCAUUGCUGCACGUGGAGGAUUUUUUGAUGAGAACAAAACAUUUCAAAUUGUAAUAGUAAUUUUUCACAUUAUUAAUGUCCUGACAAUACAUUGUGAUCAGUUGA